AAGCCAAUGAGAAGACAGCUGCUGC
rnacentral:siRNA from 1 species